UUGGGAGGGCCACAGGGGAUGGGCUGGGGAACAGAACCCGCAACAGGAAUGAGAGUCAAAGGCCCUAAAUAUAUACACAACGCACACACAAUGGAAGAAAAAAAAACUCAAAUUUAUUCCCUCUGGAGCUGUUUGAGCCAAAAAGGAAAACAAAAAACAAAACCCAAAAAAACAAAAACAAAAAAACGCUGAACUGCGGCUGAGCUGUCAUUGCUGAGCUGGGGCUCUGGGCAGUGAAUGCAGGUGUGUGUUGAGCCACAACCCUUCCAGAGGUGAGGCUGGGACGGAACAUCUCCAAGGCUCAGGCCUCGCAGAUCUCUCUCCCUAGCUCUUCCCAUCAAGGAAACGGCUUCCCCAGUGCUCACCUCCAGGGGCGCCAGAGCGUUUCUUGUGGACUGUAUGCUACAGCCUCCACUUGGAGCAAUGGAGCCCCCUAGGUAGGCGGUUAGUGCUGCCGGAUUCUGCUCUGAGGUUCUCUGGAUUCUCCGGACACCCCCCAGGCCCCAUCGGGAGAGGGAUUGGAUAAAUAUGUUAGAAACACAGGCAGGGGCCGUUGGAAAUAUGAAGCCAUGGAUUUUCCCAAUCAGCUGAGUCAACAGAUGUGGGGCGGGGGCGGGUAGGAGGGCGAGGAAGUCAUGGACAAGGGAGAGGUAUGGGGCUUAAUGGAGGUGGCUUUGAGAAGAGAGUGGCUCUCCAGGGUCACUAAAAAGCCUCCUCUCAAAUCUAUGAGCACGUCCACUUAGAGUUUGAACUGACCGGGCCUUUUUUUUUUUUUUUUUUAAAUAAGUCUAUGGAUUAAUACUUGGACUCGACAGUGCCUUCUGCAACUGGUGAUAGAAGAAGACACCAUUUCCUAGCUCUCUCUGACACACAAUUCUCACCAACACCAAAAAACAGUGGCUAACAAGACUGAACUACAAACCUCAACCUGGUUUCUAGUGCGCUUCUGUUUACCCUGCUUCUGCUAAUGAGAUACUACUUGGAGAUGCAAAUUUUUAAGAAUGUUAGCUUCAGCCUGGAGAGAAGGAAACUGCAAUUUGCAGUUUGUGCUGGGAGUGAUAACCUUCGUAAGUAAUGGGUUUCACUGAUUAACUGCUGCUAACAAAACAUUGUUGCCAAACCUGUUAAUCUAAAACUAGCAAUAGGACGGCUGUUAGAUCCACAUUUCCCUUCCUCCAGUCCCCAGAGAGCUCAGAGAAAUAUUUCUCACUUAAAUAGCCUUCAUCUUCCCAUGUAUUUUAUUGCAUCUGCUAAUAGGUUAGCCAUAAGUUAGGAGCGGUUCGGAGAUAGAUAUCCAAUCAACCUCAACGAGGAGUUCAAGGAGAAAAGCAAUUCCAUUUAAAACAUGGUUUUUGUUUGUUUGUUUGUUUUCCUAACUGGAAGGUGGAGUGGGGAAAUGUGUGAGUUUGCUGAGUACUCAAAUAAAUGGAAGUACUAAGCGCUCUUAGUGAUCAGAAGGUUUGAUGUCUCGCGUCGCUCGUUGUGUAUGUGACAGUGCACUCAAUUCCCAGAACCAAGCAACAACCCUUUCACGGAGAUUCUUUCUGCUGACCUGCCCACGAAAACCCACCCCAAUUGACUCUCAAUAUUUUGCUGCUUAGAUUGACAUCUGAGAGAGCCCCUAAAGCAGGUCCUCAUUGUGCCCUCAACUUUGUCAUAAGCGCCUCCACCCCACAAAGCUGGGGUGGGCUCUCCCACUCUGGACUAUGGAAGUCUAGUCACAGGAAGCCUGCUUUACUGCUAAGUCACAGACCUGUGGCAUAUUGGGACAGUGUAAAGGUGCAAACACGUGGGCCUUGUCUGGUCUGCCCCCCUAAUAGCUGGGAAGAUCACGUGACUUCAUCAUUUUCAGUAUCUUGAGAUGAGCAUCCUGGAAAAGUUAAAGGUUUUUGUUUUUACCCCUCCCCCCAGCUCCCAAGGUUAAGGGGAAUAUCUCUUUAAGUACAUUAAUGGAAAAAUAUAUUGCUCAAAUAGUGAAAUAUAUAUAAAUGUACCAAAGCACUUUAAAUACUCAAACUGGUUGAUGCUGAUGAAUGUU
rnacentral:lncRNA from 1 species